UCCUUCUUUGAUCUUAUAGUUAUGUAAAAUUUAAUUAAACAUAAUUUUGAUUUGAUUUCAACAUUAAACUAAUCACAAUGAUAUUCCAGCCUAUGGUGUGUCCAACACAAUGUUGCAACCUAGCUCAAGGCUAACCUAGCAUGUACACCAUAUUUCUUAUAGAGCCAACUAGUGCAGAUGCUGCCCAUGCCCCCUUAGUUAUGUUAAAGUCAUG
rnacentral:lncRNA from 1 species